rnacentral:rRNA from 1 species
UACGUAGGGUGCGAGCGUUGUCCGGAAUUAUUGGGCGUAAAGAGCUCGUAGGCGGUUUGUCGCGUCGGCCGUGAAAACUUGGGGCUUAACUCCAAGCUUGCGGUCGAUACGGGCAGGCUUGAGUUCGGUGAGGGGAGACGUGGAAUUCCUGGUGUAGCGGUGAAAUGCGCAGAUAUCAGGAGGAACACCGGUGGCGAAGGCGGGUCUCUGGGCCGAUACUGACGCUGAGGAGCGAAAGCGUGGGGAGCGAACAGGAUUAGAAC